rnacentral:rRNA from 1 species
GACGUAGGGCGCAAGCGUUGUCCGGAAUUAUUGGGCGUAAAGAGCUCGUAGGCGGCUUGUUGCGUCGACUGUGAAAAACCACGACUCAACCGUGGGACUGCAGUCGAUACGGGCAGACUAGAGGUAGGUAGGGGAGAAUGGAAUUCCCGGUGUAGCGGUGAAAUGCGCAGAUAUCGGGAGGAACACCGGUGGCGAAGGCGGUUCUCUGGGCCUUACCUGACGCUGAGGAGCGAAAGCGUGGGGAGCAAACAGG